rnacentral:rRNA from 1 species
GAUGAACGCUAGCGGCAGGCCUAACACAUGCAAGUCGAGGGGUAGAAGGAGCUUGCUCCUUUGAGACCGGCGCACGGGUGCGUAACGCGUAUGCAAUCUACCUUGUACAGGGGAAUAGCCCAGAGAAAUUUGGAUUAAUGCCCCAUAGUAUAUAACCUUCGCAUGUUGGUUAUAUUAAAGUUCCAACGGUACAAGAUGAGCAUGCGUCCCAUUAGUUAGUUGGUAAGGUAACGGCUUACCAAGACGAUGAUGGGUAGGGGUCCUGAGAGGGAGAUCCCCCACACUGGUACUGAGACACGGACCAGACUCCUACGGGAGGCAGCAGUGAGGAAUAUUGGUCAAUGGUCGCAAGACUGAACCAGCCAUGCCGCGUGCAGGAAGACGGUCCUAUGGAUUGUAAAACUGCUUUUUAAACAGGAAACAACCCUCCACGUGUGGGAUCUUGGACGGUACUGGUAAGGAAAUAAAGGACGUCGGCUUAAACCGUCCGGUCGCCAAGGCCAAGGCCCGGUACGGUUAAAU